UGGCGGACGGGUGAGUAACGCGUGGGUAACCUGCCUCACACAGGGGGAUAACACCUGGAAACAGGUGCUAAUACCGCAUAAGCGCACAGGGCCGCAUGGCCCGGUGUGAAAAACUCCGGUGGUGUAAGAUGGACCCGCGUCUGAUUAGCUUGUUGGCGGGGUAGGGGCCCACCAAGGCGACGAUCAGUAGCCGGCCUGAGAGGGUGGACGGCCACAUUGGGACUGAGACACGGCCCAAACUCCUACGGGAGGCAGCAG
rnacentral:rRNA from 1 species